rnacentral:rRNA from 1 species
AUUGAACGCUGGCGGCAUGCUUUACACAUGCAAGUCGAACGGCAGCGGGGGCUUCGGCCUGCCGGCGAGUGGCGAACGGGUGAGUAAUGCAUCGGAACGUGCCCAGUCAUGGGGGAUAACUACGCGAAAGCGUAGCUAAUACCGCAUACGCCCUGAGGGGGAAAGUGGGGGAUCUUCGGACCUCACGUGAUUGGAGCGGCCGAUGUCAGAUUAGCUAGUUGGUGAGGUAAAGGCUCACCAAGGCGACGAUCUGUAGCGGGUCUGAGAGGAUGAUCCGCCACACUGGGACUGAGACACGGCCCAGACUCCUACGGGAGGCAGCAGUAGGGAAUUUUCGGCAAUGGGGGAAACCCUGACCGAGCAAUGCCGCGUGAACGAUGAAGGUCUUCGGAUUGUAAAGUUCUGUGAUUGGGGAAGAAUGGUAUUCUUAGGGAAUGAGGAGUACAUGACGGUACCCGAUUAGAAAGCCCCGGCUAACUAUGUGCCAGCAGCC